rnacentral:rRNA from 1 species
CCUUCGACGUUAGCGGCGGACGGGUGAGUAACACGUGGGUAACCUACCUAUAAGACUGGGAUAACUUCGGGAAACCGGAGCUAAUACCGGAUAAUAUUUCGAACCGCAUGGUUCGAUAGUGAAAGGUGGUUUUGCUAUCACUUAUAGAUGGACCUGCGCCGUAUUAGCUAGUUGGUAAGGUAACGGCUUACCAAGGCGACGAUACGUAGCCGACCUGAGAGGGUGAUCGGCCACACUGGAACUGAGACACGGUCCAGACUCCUACGGGAGGCAGCAGGA